AAAAAAUAAAUAAAAAAUUAAUUUACAACGAAAUAAUUGAGUUCAAAAUAUUAAAUGGAAAAAAAUCACGCCCAUCCAAUCAGACAGCGACACGUGUCCUGCUUUUAAAAAGUAGAUUCUUCUCUCCAGGGUGUAAUCCAGUGUGGUGCACGCGCUGGAAUCUGAUGGAUUCGGAUGAUCUAGGCUGUCUGAUUGAUCAGACAAUCUUGAUGAGAUCAGAUCUUGGCUGUCUGAUGGAAAUCAACAGCCUGUAACCAUGGUACUGCGGUACGCGCGCGACACUAGAUCCGCGUCCAUUGAUGG
rnacentral:lncRNA from 1 species